GAUGAACGCUGGCGGCGUGCCUAAUACAUGCAAGUCGAGCGAACAGACGAGGAGCUUGCUCCUCUGACGUUAGCGGCGGACGGGUGAGUAACACGUGGAUAACCUACCUAUAAGACUGGGAUAACUUCGGGAAACCGGAGCUAAUACCGGAUAAUAUAUUGAACCGCAUGGUUCAAUAGUGAAAGACGGUUUUGCUGUCACUUAUAGAUGGAUCCGCGCCGCAUUAGCUAGUUGGUAAGGUAAAGGCUUACCAAGGCGGCGAUGCGUAGCCGACCUGAGAGGGUGAUCGGCCACACUGGAACUGAGACACGGUCCAGACUCCGACGGGAGGCAGCAGUAGGGAAUCUUCCGCAAUGGGCGAAAGCCUGACGGAGCAACGCCGCGUGAGUGAUGAAGGUCUUCGGAUCGUAAAGCUCUGUUAUUAGGGAAGAACAAAUGUGUAAGUAACUAUGCACGUCUUGACGGUACCUAAUCAGAAAGCCACGGCUAACUACGUG
rnacentral:rRNA from 1 species